CUGCAGCGGGAGGAGGAGCAGCUCAGUGCAGAGAGAGAUGAAGAGAAUGGGCUAGAACCAGAUGUUCUCCAGUCGUUUCCAUACAAUUCAUGAAAUUGCUCCCAGUAAGCUCACUCACUAGCAAGCACAAGAUGGAUGUCAGUGAGUGUGAUUCAGUUGCUCUUCAAAUUCCGAGCUAGCGAACAGGAGCAGCAUACAGGAGAGUUUUGCUAGGGAGUUCUCCAGGUGAAGAAGGAGCAACUACAGGACCCUUGGAGUGUAACUCUGCCUGGAGACUUUCAGAGAAAAUGGAAAUGUUUAGUUCUUCAUGGUGUGGUUCUACAUGGGGUACUAUGGGUGUUUUUAUUAUUGAAGACAGAUGAAGGAAGCGUACCUUGCACUUGGAAUGGAAAGAGAGCAUUGUUUUCAUGGUGGAAAAUUCUGAGAAGCAUCAGAUCUUUCCUGCUGCUGCUUGCUUCUUGCCAUCCUCAUUAAGAUUCAUCCAACAAAGCAUUGUUCCAGCAUGCCCCACAAACAAGCAAAAGGCCCCCGCCUCCUGAGUGACCUCCAUCUGCCUCUUCCCAGCAGGAAUUCAGCCCAUUCAUCUCUUCCCACAUGCUCCUCCUCCUGUAAUGCUUUUGUGUGGGUUAGUCAAUGGCCAAUUAUUAACCAUAGAAAAGGCAAUGUGCAGCUCUGUGAUUUACCCACUGUCUCCUAAGACAAUUAUAAAAUACAUUUUCUACUCAGAAUGUAUUCUUUCCAGAGGAUUUUUGCAGCUGAAAUCAACACAAGCAAGUUAUAUUCACCAGCAGAAAGUUUCUUUAGAAAAGAUUUAAGAUUGCAAGUGUUGAUAGUCUAGCCUCACAACAAUAUUGCACUGUUCACAAAAAUUCUACAUUUUGUAUAAAAUCUACGCUGUAAACUCUGGAAAUGAAUAGUUAAGAUCCAGCCAUUUCCCGAUGGCUAAGGAACCCUCCUUUAGAGUGGAGGAGCAGGGA